AGAGUUUGAUCAUGGCUCAGAGCGAACGCUGGCGGCAGGCUUAACACAUGCAAGUCGAACGCUCGUCUUCGGACGGGAGUGGCAGACGGGUGAGUAACACGUGGGAACGUACCCUUUGGUUCGGAAUAACGCAGGGAAACUUGCGCUAAUACCGGAUACGCCCUUUUGGGGAAAGGUUUACUGCCGAAGGAUCGGCCCGCGUCUGAUUAGCUAGUUGGUGGGGUAACGGCCUACC
rnacentral:rRNA from 1 species